AACGAACGCUGGCGGCAGGCCUAACACAUGCAAGUCGAACGCCGUAGCAAUACGGAGUGGCAGACGGGUGAGUAACGCGUGGGAACCUUCCCAAUGGUACGGAAUAGCUCAGGGAAACUUGUGGUAAUACCGUAUAAGCCCGAAAGGGGAAAGAUUUAUCGCCAUUGGAUGGGCCCGCGUAGGAUUAGCUAGUUGGUGAGGUAAUGGCUCACCAAGGCGACGAUCCUUAGCUGGUCUGAGAGGACGACCAGCCACACUGGGACUGAGACACGGCCCAGACUCCUACGGGAGGCAGCAGUGGGGAAUAUUGGACAAUGGGCGAAAGCCUGAUCCAGCCAUGCCGCGUGAGUGAUGAAGGCCUUAGGGUUGUAAUGCUCUUUUGGCGGGGAAGAUAAUGACGGUACCCGCAGAAUAAGCCCCGGCUAACUUCGUGCCAGCCGCCGCCGUAACAC
rnacentral:rRNA from 1 species